rnacentral:rRNA from 1 species
UACGAAGGGGGCUAGCGUUGCUCGGAAUUACUGGGCGUAAAGGGCGCGUAGGCGGCACUGUUAGUCAGGCGUGAAAGUCCUGGGCUCAACCUGGGAACUGCGCUUGAUACAUCCAGGCUUGAGUGGGGAAGAGGGUCGUGGAAUUCCCAGUGUAGAGGUGAAAUUCGUAGAUAUUGGGAAGAACACCGGUGGCGAAGGCGGCGACCUGGUCCUUUACUGACGCUGGAGGCGCGAAAGCGUGGGGAGCAAACAGG